rnacentral:rRNA from 1 species
GAGUUUGAUCCUGGCUCAGGACGAACGCUGGCGGCGUGCCUAAUACAUGCAAGUCGAGCGAACAGAUGAGGAGCUUGCUCCUCAAAUGUUAGCGGCGGACGGGUGAGUAACACGUGGGCAACCUGCCCUGCAGAUGGGGAUAACUCCGGGAAACCGGGGCUAAUACCGAAUAACAAAAAGAAUCUCCUGAUUCUUUUUUGAAAGGCGGCUUUUAGCUGUCACUGCAGGAUGGGCCCGCGGCGCAUUAGCUAGUUGGUGAGGUAACGGCUCACCAAGGCGACGAUGCGUAGCCGACCUGAGAGGGUGAUCGGCCACACUGGGACUGAGACACGGCCCAGACUCCUACGGGAGGCAGCAGUAGGGAAUCUUCCGCAAUGGACGAAAGUCUGACGGAGCAACGCCGCGUGAGUGAAGAAGGUUUUCGGAUCGUAAAGCUCUGUUGUCAGGGAAGAACAAGUACCAUAGUAACUGAUGUACCUUGACGUACCUGACCA